UACGGAGGGUGCAAGCGUUGUCCGGAUUUAUUGGGUUUAAAGGGUGCGUAGGCGGUCUUUUAAGUCAGUGGUGAAAUCCUCCAGCUCAACUGGAGAACUGCCAUUGAUACUGGAAGACUUGAGUAUAGUUGAGGUAGGCGGAAUUGACAGUGUAGCGGUGAAAUGCAUAGAUAUUGUCAAGAACGCCGAUUGCGAAGGCAGCUUACUAAGCUAGAACUGACGCUGAGGCACGAAAGUGCGGGGAUCAAACAGG
rnacentral:rRNA from 1 species